CACGUAGGGUGCGAGCGUUGUCCGGAAUUAUUGGGCGUAAAGAGCUCGUAGGCGGUGUGUCGCGUCGGCCGUGAAAACCUGCAGCUUAACUGUGGGCUUGCGGUCGAUACGGGCAUCACUGGAGUUCGGCAGGGGAGACUGGAAUUCCUGGUGUAGCGGUGAAAUGCGCAGAUAUCAGGAGGAAUACCGGUGGCGAAGGCGGCAUCCUGGACCGACAUUGAUGCUGAGGAGCGAAAGCUAGGGGAGCAAACGGG
rnacentral:rRNA from 1 species